rnacentral:tRNA from 1 species
GCCCGGGUAGCUCAGUCAGUCAAGCAUCAGACUUAAUCUGAGGGUCCAUGGUUCAAGUCUCUGUCCAGGCG